rnacentral:rRNA from 1 species
AUUGAACGCUGGCGGCAGGCCUAAUACAUGCAAGUCGAACGAGUGGAGGACGGGUGAGUAAUGUCUGGGAAAAUGCCUGAGGGAGGGGGACAACUACUGGAAACGGUAGUUAAUAACGCAUAUCAUCGGAUGUGACAAGAUGGGCUUAGCGAGUGGGUGGGGUAAAGGCUCACCUAGGCGACGGUCCCUAGCUGGUCUGAGAGGAUGACCAGCCACAGUGGAACUGAGACACGGACCAGACUCCUACGGGAGGCAGCAGUGGGGAAUAUUGCACAAUGGACGCAAGCCUGAUGCAGCCACGCCGCGUGUAUGAAGAAGGCCUUCGGAUUGUAAAGUACUGUCGGCGGUGAGGCGUUAACCACAGAAAAAGCCCCGGCUAACUCCGUGCCAGCAGCCGCGGUAAUAC